UCAGGUUUUGCUUCUUCUUUAGGUUAUACUUUUUCUUAUUUGUAUGUAAAAAACACAGACGCGUACUUUUUAUUUUGUUUUUGUAACGCCGUGCCAGCCGCCGUAACCGUUCUUUCGAUCUUUGGUGUACAAAUGUUAGUGGUUAAUCAAUGGGCCGUACAAACGAUGUGAAUGGUCGUAAGGAUUCCACUGAACCAGUUGGUUCUACUGAACCGAGUGGAUUUUAUUACCUAUCUACUGACAUCAUUCGCAACUAAAAUUAAAUUAUUGCAAAAUCCAACGAACUCUAUUCGUCGCCAGGACACAAGCAAAAGUCAAAAAAAAAAAAGACGAUAACAUUGAAUCAGAGUUGAUUGGUGCACAUUUCGUGACCAUCUAAUUACAUUUGCAAUUUAGUGAAGCAAAAUUUGUACUGACGCAGCGACAUGUCGCUACUCUCUUGCUCAUAGGACUCAGUACUUCUACGAAAUAUGUACGCAUUUUUUUCGUUUCGUGGGAUUGGCUCUGAAUCUCUGCUCAUGUAUACACACAAGCACACACAUUUCUUUACGUGUGUUGGCAAAACGUCGAUCAGCUUGAUUGCAAGAUGGCGAAUUGCACCAUAUGAUUUGUGGUUGUUGUACAAAUGAGACCACCUUUAAUUGUUUCGCCAUGAAUGAAGCCUUAAAAUAGUUUUGUUUGAAAGUUCUAUAAAGGAAAUCUUUGAAAUAAACAUUAAGAUUUGUGAAUACCUGUGUAAGUGUAUAUAAGAAAAAUAUUUUUUUGUGUGAAAAGAAAAACAAAUUACUUUA